AUGAAAAUGUAUAUACGAGCACACACACAGCAUGCAGUUUUUCUGGAAACUUGUUGAGCUGGCAGCUGGCCCGAGGAUUCUUAGCUUUGAUUUGGUCCGGUCCGCUUUCGUCCGCUCAAAAGCUAGACCAACCCUGAAGAUAUAAGAGCUAGAACCACAGAUAGAACAGAGAUCCGAGUGUUCUGCUGUGCUCUGCUGUGCUGUGCAGACACAACUCAAAUCCAUUUGCUGAGUAUGCGUAAUUUUUAUGACGGAAUUAUUACAUCAUUCAUCUUCAUCAAGAGCGACAAUGACACAGAUUUUGAAAUGCCGAAACGUGCUUAUCAACUGCAUAAAUUGUUUUCGGCUGCAACUUCCAACUGACCAUCCAAGCAGCCAAGCAGCCAACCAACCAGUGUGGAAGUGUGUGACUAGAGGGAUGCGGGCUUUGGGGUUGCUGGGAAAAGUUGUCAAUGCAAAUGUCGUGUCCGUCUCCUUCUCUGAUUUGUAAUCAAAUUAAAUUCUGUUUGUCUAAACAAUGAGAAAGGCCGCCGCACACAGCGUAGGAAAUAUGAAGCGGAAGGAGGAGCAGCGCCAGCGCUGAAUAGAGAUUCCCAAAAUUCCUGAGAUAAUCAACAGCAUUAUCUGCUGAUUAUGUCUUUGAGAAAUUCUAUGAAAAUUGCACCUUAAAGGAACCGACCCGAACCAUCCCGUACCGCACAUCACAGGACCGCACUGAACUUCGCAAAAAAAUAUUGAACUAUAUCCGGGAUGAUCAGCGGAUGAUGAGGAUGCGAACACCCACCCCUGCGCCUCUGACUGUGUGGAGUGGUCGAGUAUCCGUUUUCGCUCGGGCUCUUUUUUGCAAAUUCUCUGAUCAUCAACCUCAUCAAACCCUCGGUCACUUGAGGUUUAGGCCAACAUUAAAAAAAAGAGCCGAAAGAGGCAAAAAAAUAAAAUAAAAACACCCAAAGAAGGAACCGAAAAUGAGUGAAAUAAACGUGAGAACAUUGAAUGUCCUUUGAGGAUAAA